rnacentral:rRNA from 1 species
CCCUUAGAUGUUCUGGGCCGCACGCGCGCUACACUGAUGCAUUCAACGAGUUUCUUCCUGGUCCGAGAGGAAUGGGUAACCUUUUGAAAGUGCAUCGUGAUAGGGAUAGACUAUUGCAAUUAUUGGUCUUCAACGAGGAAUUCCUAGUAGACGUAGUUCAUCAGACUGCAUCGAUUACGUCCCUGCCCUUUGUACACACCGCCCGUCGCUCGUACCGAUUGAAUGCUCAGGUGAGCCAUUCGGACUUUCAUCAUGCUGGUUUCCAGUUUUGAUGAAGGAAAGUCUUGCGAACCUUAUCAUUUAGAGGAAGGAGAAGUCGUAACA